rnacentral:lncRNA from 1 species
AUAAGUGAAUCUCAAAGUAGUUAUGUCUUAAUCCUUUGACUUGAGAUUGUCAUAGUUUCCAACAUAAAAACUAUUAUGUUUUGACAUAACCAAACAUUGUCUUUAAUCGGACAAUCAUAAAGGUUAUGAUUGAGUAUAAUAGAAAUUAUGUAGAGGAUAAUGAACAAUCAAGAUAGGAUUUGUCCCUCUCUCUGAGAGAGAUAUCUUCUGGGCCCCUCGAUAAGUGAGACUGAGAAAUGCAUGGCCGUGCUCAAAUGAAUUGAUAGUGUGAUCAAUAUCAUUUGAAUUUAUCAGUCUAUUUAGAGAUCGAGAAAUCAUAAGUUUGAACAUUAUAAGUUUGACAUUGACCAUGACUUAUGUUCAAACUAGAUAUCGUGUGACAAAGGGAUUAAUACAUGUUCU